rnacentral:snRNA from 1 species
GUCACUUCUUAGCCUUUUGGGCUAAGAUUGAGUACAGUAUCUGAGAAUAAUAUACUAAAUGGAUUUUUGGAGCUAGGAGGUAAAACAGGAGUUUGCUUUGUCCACUCCACACAUCAACCUUGUAUUUCAGAACCUCUGGGAAUGGUGCACCUCCU